rnacentral:lncRNA from 1 species
AAAAUUCUAAACAGCAAAACAACUAACAAGCUGCUCCUCGUCUCAACCGCACAAACCACAGACUCCAUUCAAAUCCAUCUCUCUCUCAUCAGAAUUCGAUCCCGCAGAAACCGUAGGAGCGGGGACUUUGAGCACCUCUCUUUUCCUUCUGAAAUUUCAAAAAUCUCCCCUAAUUUCAGCUAUUUUUUGCAUUUGUUUAAUUUGCCUCGCGUACCUGCGUAGCCAACUUAGAUAUCUGGUUCCGAUUGAAUGUGAUAGAAUUCUGUGAAUUUGAUGUGCCGACUGGAAUGUGAUAAAAUUCUGCGUUGAAUUUUUUUUUAAGAAUCUCGAUGCCCAAAUUAUGUUUGCAGAAAGUCCUGGCUCAAAUUAUGUUGGCCAAUUUGUAGCAUUCUUAACCUCCCCUCCCCCUCUCCCACACCCCAAAAAAAACAAAGAUUUAUAUGUGAACUCUCUAUCUUUCUGACUAGUUUCUCUCAUUAAUUUCUUGUUUAAAACUUUAUUUUGGUAAGGGUUAAUAGCUCAUCAAGAGUAAAUUGGUAGGGGUUAGGUGGGGGGAG